CCAGGGAACUGAAACAUCUAAGUACCUGGAGGAAGAGAAAGAAAAAUCGAUUUCCUGAGUAGCGGCGAGCGAAACGGAAAGAGCCCAAACCAAGAAGCUUGCUUCUUGGGGUUGUAGGACACUCUAUACGGAGUUACAAAAGAAAGUUAUAAAUGAAGCGGUCUGGAAAGGCCCGCCAAAGACGGUAACAGCCCGGUAGUUGAAAUGGCUUUCCCUCCAGAGUGGAUCCUGAGUACGGCGGAACACGUGAAAUUCCGUCGGAAUCCGGGAGGACCAUCUCCCAAGGCUAAAUACUCCCUAGUGACCGAUAGUGAACCAGUACCGUGAGGGAAAGGUGAAAAGCACCCCGGAAGGGGAGUGAAACAGUUCCUGAAACCGUGUGCCUACAAGUAGUUAGAGCCCGUUAAUGGGUGAUAGCGUGCCUUUUGUAGAAUGAACCGGCGAGUUACGAUUUGUUGCAAGGUUAAGCGGAAAAAGCGGAGCCGUAGCGAAAGCGAGUCUGAAUAGGGCGCAUAAGUAACAGGUCGUAGACCCGAAACCAGGUGAUCUACCCAUGUCCAGGAUGAAGGUAAGGUAAUACUUACUGGAGGUCCGAACCCACGCACGUUGAAAAGUGCGGGGAUGAGGUGUGGGUAGCGGAGAAAUUCCAAUCGAACUUGGAGAUAGCUGGUUCUCUCCGAAAUAGCUUUAGGGCUAGCCUCGAGGUAAAGAGUCAUGGAGGUAGAGCACUGUUUGGACUAGGGGCCCUUCUCGGGUUACCGAAUUCAGAUAAACUCCGAAUGCCAUGUACUUAUACUCGGGAGUCAGACUGCGAGUGAUAAGAUCCGUAGUCGAAAGGGAAACAGCCCAGACCACCAGUUAAGGUCCCCAAAUAUAUGUUAAGUGGAAAAGGAUGUGGGGUUGCUUAGACAACCAGGAUGUUGGCUUAGAAGCAGCCACCAUUGAAAGAGUGCGUAAUAGCUCACUGGUCGAGUGACCCCGCGCCGAAAAUGUACCGGGGCUAAACAUAUUACC
rnacentral:rRNA from 1 species